UAGAAAAUCUACGUUUAUUCGAUUCAUUAAUUCGUACCAAGUUUUUGGGAUUUUAACGUAAAUUUUCAUGUCAAACAGCUGUGUCACGUUACGUAUAGUAUUGAUCAGUGUGACAAACUGUUACCCUGAAGGGGAUUUGAAUAGCAUCAAAGUUGAAGAUCUAAAAUAAUUCUGGUUGAACAAAAACAAAACUCAAGGCCGUGGCAAAAACUAUGU